UACGAAGGGGGCUAGCGUUGCUCGGAAUCACUGGGCGUAAAGGGCGCGUAGGCGGACUCUUAAGUCGGGGGUGAAAGCCCAGGGCUCAACCCUGGAAUUGCCUUCGAUACUGAGAGUCUUGAGUUCGGAAGAGGUUGGUGGAACUGCGAGUGUAGAGGUGAAAUUCGUAGAUAUUCGCAAGAACACCAGUGGCGAAGGUGGCUCACUGGCCCGAUACUGACGCUGAGGCACGAAAGCGUGGGGAGCAAACAGG
rnacentral:rRNA from 1 species